rnacentral:misc_RNA from 1 species
UGGUGAACCAGCGGAGGGAUCAUUACAGAGUUGCAAAACUCCCAACCAUUGUGAACCUACCUCACCGUUGCUUCGGCGGGUGGCCCCGGGGCAACCCGGAGCCGCGCCGGCCCCGCUCUCGGGGCUCGGCAAACCCGUCAGAAGACCGAAACUCUCCGUCAUCAGUGGCCUCUCUGAGUAACUUAUACAAUAAGUCAAAACUUUCAACAACGGAUCUCUUGGUUCUGG